rnacentral:miRNA from 1 species
UGCGCACUCGGUCCAUCCCUGG